CAGGGUAUGUUCACCACUCUUCCCAUAAGUUUGGGAAGUUAGGCCCUAAAGCUAAUAAAUGUGUGUUUAUUAGAUAUUCUUGACAUUCUAAGGGCUAUGUAAUGUAUGGGGAACGUCCUAAUGGAGGCCAACUGAAAUAGAAUCCCAUGAUAUUGACUAUCGAAAAGAUGACUUUCCUAGUAUUGGUGAGGUUAAGGAAAGCCUUGA
rnacentral:lncRNA from 1 species